rnacentral:rRNA from 1 species
UGUCUUUCGGGAUAUGUUAGUGGCAGACGGGUGCGUAACACGUAGGUGACCUGCCCUGGAGUGGGGAACAACUAUCCUAACGGAUAGCUAAUACCGCAUAUGCUCGGUGAUUCAUUUUGCCGAGUAAAGUCGAAAGGCGCUUCAGGAUGGGCCUGCGGCGGAUUAGGUAGUUGGUGGGGUAACGGCCUACCAAGCCGAUGAUCCGUAGAGGGCGUGAGAGCGUGGCCCCCCACACUGGCACUGAGAUACGGGCCAGACUCCUACGGGAGGCAGCAGUGAGGAAUAUUGCGCAAUGGGCGAAAGCCUGAACCAGCCAUCCCGCGUGCAGGAAGACGGCGCUAUGCGUUGUAAACUGCUUUUCCAGGGAAAGAAAACCCCCGACGAGUCGGGGCUUGCCGGUACCCUGGGAAUAAGCAUCGGCUAACUCCGUGCCAGCAGCCGCGGUAAUACGGAGGAUGCGAGCGUUAUCCGGAUUUAUUGGGUUUAAAGGGUGCGUAGGCGGAUUAAUAAGUCAGUGGUGAAAACCUUCAGCUUAACUGGAGACUUGCCAUUGAUACUGUUAGUCUUGAGUACGGUCAAGGUAGGCGGAAUGUGUAAUGUAGCGGUGAAAUGCUUAGAUAUUACACAGAACACCGAUUGCGAAGGCAGCUUACUGGGCCAUUACUGACGCUGAUGCACGAAAGCGUGGGGAGCGAACAGGAUUAGAU